CGCUACUUUGAAGUGAAAGUACUCAGAAAAAGAGAGAAACUUUCGAUCCUCACUGGGAACUAGGAAGUGGAAGUACUCAGAAAAAUAAAGAAUAAUUUCAGUCCUCUUUCAUCUCUUCCAAAUUUCAGUCUCCUCUUUUUCUGUCUCAUCAGUUCCUAAUUUCAGAUUCAAUUCCAUCUCUUUCAAAGCUACGCAAUUCAGAUCUAUAAUUUCUAAUGGCUUUAAUGGGCAUGGAAACGGACUCCUCAUCUUUCCCAAGUUCCUCUUCUUCUUCUGCCGCCCGAGGGAAGUAUGAUGUGUUCCUCAGUUUCAGAGGUGAGGACACCCGCAACACAUUGGCGGACCUUCUAUAUGAUGCUUUCAAUCAGAAGGGCAUUAACGCCUUUAAGGACGAUGAAAAACUUGAGAAAGGAAAAACUAUUUCGCCAGAGCUUUCAAGUGCAAUAGAAGAAUCGCGAUUUGCUGUUGUCAUUUUCUCAAAAAACUAUGCAUCUUCCACUUGGUGCUUAGAUGAACUUGCAAAGAUCAUUCACUGCGAGGAACACAUGGGAAUGAAAAUUCUGCCAGUUUUUUAUGACGUGGAGCCCUCUGAUGUGCGGAAGCAACUGGGAACUUUUGCACAGGCUUUUAUUGAACAUGAAAAACGUUUCAAGGAGAAUAUAGAGAAGGUGAAGAUGUGGAGAGCUGCUUUGACUCACGUGGGCAAUCUCGCUGGAUGGCCUUUAAUGAAUAGGCCUUUCUCACAAGUUAUUAAAAGCAUUGUGAGGCUAAUAUGGCAUAACUUGAAUAAUGAUGCAUUCUCAGAAGUUACCAAGGGCCUAGUAGGAAUAGACUCUCAUGUGGUGGAAUUGGAGUCGCGUUUAGAUGUAGGGUCAAAUGAUGUUCGCUUUAUAGGAAUUCGGGCGAUGGGGGGAAUGGGUAAGACAACUCUUGCUUGGGUUGUUUAUCAUAUGGUUUCUAAAGAUUUUGAAGCUUGCAGUUUUAUUGAGGAUGUUCGGGAAAAUUUUGAAAAAAAUGGUUUUGUUCCGAUACAACAAAAAAUUAUUGAUCAAAUUUUGAGGGAAAAGGAAUUGAAAAUAGAUGAUAAGUAUGAUGGAGUUUUCAAGAUCAAAAAUGGGUUACGUCACAAAAGAAUUCUUCUUGUUCUAGAUGAUGUAGAUAAACUAGACAUGUUAAACAUGUUAGCCAGGGAGCAUGAUUGGUUUGGCCCGGGCAGUAGAAUUAUCAUAACAACAAGAGAUAUGCAGGUGUUGAACACACAUGGAGUAGAUGAAAUAUAUGAAGUUAAAGGAUUGGACGAUGAAAAUGCUCUUCAACUUUUUUGCUUGAAAGCUUUUAAAAAAGAGCAUGUCCCUGAUGAUUUUAUAGGGUUGUCUAGCCAUUUUUUGAAAUAUGCUGGAGGCCUUCCUUUAGCUCUUGAGGUUUUGGGUUCAUUUUUGUUUGGAAAAAGUACUGUUGAAUGGAAAAGUGCGUUAGAGAGGCUCAAAGAAUAUCCUAAUCCAGAAGUUUUGCAUGUACUUAAAAUAAGUUUUGAUGGACUCCAUGACACAGAGAAGAAAAUAUUCCUACAUAUUGCAUGCUUCUUUAAUCAUAAAAAGAAAAAUCGUGUUGUAGAAGUACUGGAUAAUCUUGGCCUUUACGCUGGUAUUGGAUUGAAGGAACUCGUUGAUAAAUCUCUCUUGAAAAUUAUGGAUCAUGAUGUAGUGUGGAUGCAUGAUUUACUUGUGGAAAUGGGUAAGAACAUAGUUUUUCAAGAAUGCCCUGAUGAUCCUGGAAAGCGUAGUAGACUGUGGGUUUAUGAGGACAUUGACAAAGUAUUAAGAAAAAAUAAGGGAACGGAAGCAGUUCAAGCUAUGGAUAUUUGUGGUGGUUAUUUUAUUGAAGAAGAAGGGGCAACUUGGAACCCUGAUGCCUUUUUGAAGAUGUACAAUCUUAAAUUUCUUAAAGUUGCUGGCAUUGACUAUGUCCCCACACAUCUUCCUGAUGAUUUAAGAAUUCUUGAUUGGACCCGUUAUCCUUCAAAAUCGUUGCCAUCAAAUUUCCAACUAGAUGAGCUUGUUCAGCUUAGUUUGCAAUGGAGCGGAAUAGAACAACUUUGGAUAGGAAUAAAGCAUUUUCAAAAGUUGAGGUUCAUUGACUUGACUAAUUCCUCAAACCUGAUCAUAACCCCAAACUUCACCGGAGUCCAAAAUCUUGAGAUAUUAGUUCUAAAUGGUUGUAAAGAAUUACGCGAGCUUCACCCCUCCAUCGGAUUUCUUAAAAAGCUUGUUCGUCUUGAUCUAAUGCGUUGUGAACAACUAAUUUGUCUUCCUAGCACCAUUUGUAGUUUGAAAUCGCUUGAAUCUCUAGAUCUUUUUGGAUGCUCAAAUUUUGACAACUUACCUGAGAAUCUAGGAAAUGUCAAAGGUUUAAAAAGGCUAAAUUUGAGUGGAACAGCUAUAAUAGAGUUGCCUUCAUCAAUUGAACGCUUGCCAAGCCUUACUUCAUUGGAUAUACAUGGUUGCAAAAAUCUUGUGUGUCUUCCUAGCACCAUUUGUAGUUUGAAAUCGCUUGAAUCUCUAGAUCUUUCUGGAUGCUCAAAUUUUGACAACUUGCCUGAGAAUCUAGGAAAUGUCAAAGGUUUAAAAAGGCUAGAUUUAAGUGGAACAGCUAUAAAAGAGUUGCCUUCAUCAAUUGAACGCUUGACAAGCCUUACUUCAUUGAAUGUACUUGAUUGCAAAAAUGUUGUGUGUCUUCCUAACACCACUUGUGGUUUUAAGUUCCAUGGUGCUCUUGAUCUUUCUAAAUGCUUAAGAUUUAAAAACUUGCCAAAGAACCCAUGGAUAAUCGAAGGUCUAGGGAUGCUUGAUUUGAGUAAAACAGCUAUAGAAGAGAUGCCUUCAUCAAUUGGAUGUUUGACUAACCUUACUGCAUUGACUCUAAGAUUUUGCAUAAAUCUUGUGUGCCUUCCUAGCACCAUUUGUAGUUUGAAGUUGCUUAAUUCUCUUGAUCUUUAUGGAUGCAUAAAAUUUAACAACUUGCCAAUGAACAUAGGAAAUAUGAAAGGUUUGAAGUGGCUUGAUUUGUGUUGGACGGACAUAAAGGAGGUUCCUUCUUCCAUUUUUCUCCUUAAAAAUCUCGAACACUUUUACAUCAGUCAAUGGAAGUUAUCUGAAUUUUAUUUUAUGCCAGUAACUCUUGCGACGAUGGCCCCAUUAUGGAAUUUCCUGCCGAGAUGCCCAUUAUUGUCUUUAUCUUUAUAUUAUUCCUUACCAACAAGUCCUGUUCCAAUGGGCUUUUUAUUUCCUUCCUUUUCAGGUCUGCAGUCGUUAACUAAUCUGGGUCUUAGUGACUGCACUCUUUUGUCAAUCCCCAAUGACAUCGGCUGCUUGUCCUCUUUAGUACAGUUAGAUCUAAGUGGAAAUAAUUUUGUUUCCCUUCCUAAAAGCAUUUCUCAACUCUCUAAUCUUCAAAGACUCUGUUUAGAGGGUUGCAAGUGUCUUCAAUCAUUGGAAAGUGUUCCGUCAACUAUUGAUUCUGUAAUUGCAAACAAUUGUACCUCACUGGAGAAAUUGCCAGAAUUGCAAUUUAAUCCUUCUAGGUCAGAUCACUCCCGUUUAAAUUUCCAGUGUUGCAACUGCUUCAAAUUGGUUGACUAUUUUCAAAGCAGCAGUAACAUGCUUCAGGUCUCUCUCUCUCUCUCUCUCUCUCUCUCUCUCUCAAAGUUCCUAACAUUAUGCCUUGUAUAUUUCGGGGACUACUAGACAUUAUUAUUCCUGGAGGUAAAAUUCCAGAAUGGUUUUCCCUUGAAUGUCAGAGUGGUAACAUAGGAGUGUCUUUUCGUGGGUGUGAUGACUUGAUGGGAAUUGCGUUGUGUAUUGUUCUUGUACCCAAUGGGUCACAAGUCUCACAAUUUACAUGUUAUUUAUAUAUCAAAGAAUCUAAAAUUGUGUAUUUCAUACAAAACUUACGGUCAAAAUAUGGUAAAGUUGAAUCACCUCACCUUUGGCUGCUCUAUUUGCCCUCUCAAUAUUUCGGCUCUAAUUGGGGUAAAAUACUUAGUCACACUGAUGCUAACGGAUUCAGUCAACUCGAGAUGAAAUUAUUUGCUAACAGAGAGGGGGUGGAGAAAAUUGGGGUUCAUUUGGUAUACAAGCGAGACAUUGUAGAUUCCAAUCAAACUAUGGCACAGUGCAUUAACAACAGCAGCAUACUGUAUGAGGAUCUGGCUGAUUCUGAGGAUCAACCAGAAUCAGAAAUUUUUAACUUCUUUGCCAUGGAAGGAGAGGAUCAAACGUCCAAGAAACUUGACUCCAUUCACGGAGUGAAGAGCCAUUGUUACCAAGACAUUGAAGAUCCCAAUCAAACUAUAACAGAGUUGAGCAUCAACAGCAGGACACUAUGAGAAUCUGGGUGAUCUCUGCCAUGAUCUUUACCAUUCAGCCACAGAAGGUAGCAGAAAUAAACGAAGCCGUGAUGAGCAAGAUGGGGCUGGACCUAGUGGAGAAGGCUACUCUAGUGAUGGACCAAAUCCAAAGACUUGGAGGAUGUAUGGCUGAUUCUAAAAGAAUUUAGCAUAAGGAAGAUUCGACUUCUUUGCCUUUUUGACAGCAGCAGAAGAAAUCAAGCCACUUGAUAGUAUCUGUAUCUUCAAGAGCAAUGAGUAACUUGAUCAGCCUAGGGAGACCCAUGAUUUUGUAGAAGCAGCCAUCUAAACCACCUUCCCAAAAAGUUCUAUUGCUCCAAUGGGGGAAGAAUGUUUAGCUAAAACCAAAUUGAUGCCAAUGGAUUUUGUGAACUUAAUAUUAAAAUAGAUAGCUGGAACUUGGAGGUGGAGAAAAUUGGGAUCUGCUUAGUAUACCGGCAAGACAUGGAAGAUCCCAAUCAAACUAUGGCACAGUGCAGCAGCAACAGCAGUACAAUUUAUGAGGUCCUGGGUGUUCUACAUCAUGAUCUUGAUGAUUCAGCUGCAGAAUCAGAAAUAAGCGAAGCCAUGAUGAGGAUGACAGAGCUGGAGCUAGUGGAGAGUGCUACUAUAAUGAGGAUCCACAGCCAAAGAGGAUUCAAACUUGAAGGAUUAAUUGCUGAUUUUGAAGAAUCUAGUGAAAAUGACCUGGAAGGCUAAACAGUUUCUGUUCAUUACCUGUGGGAAUAACACAAAUUUUUCUUCUUGUCUUGUUGGUGAACUUCUAUUUAAUUAAUGGUAGGAUGGGAUCAAACAUCUGAGAAGCUUGAAGCUUUUGCCACUGUGGAUAGUUACAAGAGCGUCAACGUUGAAGUAUUAGCCAAGUAGCUAUUCUCCUCUCACACUCACCUUGGGCUCUUGCGAAAGUGGUCAAGGACUCAAAAUGGUCAAGCUUUUAAAUUAACUUUCAAUUGGCUCUCAUUAUUGAUUAAGUCUUCUUUUUUUGGGUGUCCUGCAAAUGUGUUGUUCUGUUAAACUUCUAAUGACAUACAGACAUAAAUCCUUCCGAUCUACCUCUUUUUGUUAAUGCAAAAUUACCAUCCAAUGCCUCAUUUGGUUGGAGAAGUAUAAUGGAAGCUUGAAAGGUUUCACAGUUGAGCUACUGUUGGAAGAUAGGGAUGGAAGACAGGUUAACAUCUGGGAAGAUAGGCAGCUGUGGACACCGAAUACAUCUAGGGUGGUUUUACUAAGAAAUCCUCAAUCUGCAGUAAACUAUGUGUGUGACUUGCUGGAUGAUAAUACAGACUCGCAGAAAGAUUGUUCUGGACAGGUUGUUCAUGCCACAAGAAGCUGCUGUCAUUCAAAGCAUUCUGCAAAAUACUCAACAUUUUGAUUACAGUAUCUUUUGGGUGGGUGCAGAAAUUGGAGAUUUUUCAGUUCGGGGUGCAUAUGAUUUGUCAGACCACGAGGCAAUGGCAGGUUUAGGAGAGGCUUCAAACAAUCACAGCUCAACAAUUAUGUGGCAGGCAUUGUGGAAGGCUCGGGUUCCUAACAGGAUUAAAUUUUUUCAUAGCAUACUCUUCAGUUUAUCCUGCCAACAAAGCCUCAUCUAUUUUCCAAAUGCAUCAUCUCUUCAGUAACUUGUGAGCAGUGUAAUGAAGUUCCUGAAACCAGUUUACAUGCUUCAUGGUCUUGCCCGGACACCAAGAAGGUAUGGCAAUUAGUUGAAUGCAUUAACAUUAUCCCACACCAGCCUUAUCAGAACUGGACUGAUCUAUUCUCCUUGAUGCUUCACCAUAAGAAUACAUUCUCACCGAAACUAUUUCCUACUCUCUCAUGGCAAUUAGGCUGCAAAGAAAUGGAGAGAUUUGGGGAACCAGGAAUAAAGCCAACCACUUUGGCAUAUAUAGGUAAGGAGAUGCAUGAACACUAGGCUGCAAAAUUAUCGUCUGAGAUACUGCAGAAAGUACAUCUCAUAAUAUGGAAGCCCCCUCAGUUACCUUACUCCAAGGUAAAUGUUGCAGUGAUUAGAGAUCUCAAUGUAAAUUUUGUUGCAGCUAAGGUUGAGGUGAUUAUGGGCCAAUGCUGUCUGGAGGCUCAUUUUGCAGGAUUCUGGCAUGCCCACAAUUGUUUAACCAGCAGGAAUUCAGGAGGUUCAACUUGAGAGCCAGUUAAGUAUUGCCAAUUUGCCAUUGCUACUUUUAACAUGGAUUCCCCCAAAAAUAAGUGACCUGAAAUGCUCUGUUCAACAAAGUGAAACUAGCAAUAUCUAAUUUCAGAUGCUGCGAGUUUACUUUUGUGGACAAAAGCUGUAAUAAUACUCCUCUAGUUUUAGCAGAUCUUGGAUGUAAAAAUUGCGCCACUGAGAUUUGGCUACUUGAUAAUUUUGUGAAACGCAACGCAAUACAAAUCCUGCUGCUUUUAUUUUAAGAAAAAUACAUAUUUACAUAUUGAUAUUUAUCUUUCCAAUGUAACGAUUUGUUAUAUUAAUAUAAUUGUUGUUUUUCUUUUUCUCCAA